rnacentral:rRNA from 1 species
GAGUUUGAUUCUGGCUCAGGAUGAACGCUGACAGAAUGCUUAACACAUGCAAGUCUACUUGAAUUUGGGUUUUUUAACUUCGAUUUGGGUGGCGGACGGGUGAGUAACGCGUAAAGAACUUGCCUCACAGCUAGGGACAACAUUUGGAAACGAAUGCUAAUACCUAAUAUUAUGAUUUUAGGGCAUCCUAGAAUUAUGAAAGCUAUAUGCGCUGUGAGAGAGCUUUGCGUCCCAUUAGCUAGUUGGAGAGGUAACGGCUCACCAAGGCGAUGAUGGGUAGCCGGCCUGAGAGGGUGAUCGGCCACAAGGGGACUGAGACACGGCCCUUACUCCUACGGGAGGCAGCAGUGGGGAAUAUUGGACAAUGGACCAAGAGUCUGAUCCAGCAAUUCUGUGUGCACGAUGAAGUUUUUCGGAAUGUAAAGUGCUGUCAGUUGGGAAGAAAAAAAUGA